GAUGAACGCCGGCGGUGUGCCUAAUACAUGCAAGUCGAACGCGUUGGCCCAAUUGAUUGAUGGUGCUCGCACCUGAUUGAUUUUGGUCGCCAACGAGUGGCGGACGGGUGAGUAACACGUAGGUAACCUGCCCAGAAGCGGGGGACAACAUUUGGAAACAGAUGCUAAUACCGCAUAACAACGUUGUUCGCAUGAACAACGCUUAAAAGAUGGCUUCUCGCUAUCACUUCUGGAUGGACCUGCGGUGCAUUAGCUUGUUGGUGGGGUAAUGGCCUACCAAGGCGAUGAUGCAUAGCCGAGUUGAGAGACUGAUCGGCCACAAUGGGACUGAGACACGGCCCAUACUCCUACGGGAGGCAGCAGUAGGGAAUCUUCCACAAUGGGCGCAAGCCUGAUGGAGCAACACCGCGUGAGUGAAGAAGGGUUUCGGCUCGUAAAGCUCUGUUGUUAAAGAAGAACACGUAUGAGAGUAACUGUUCAUACGUAGACGGUAUUAACCAGAAAGUC
rnacentral:rRNA from 2 species